UGGAAUUUAUUUAUUCAACACACAUUGGUGUGUAUUAAUGUCUGCAUUUCAUUAGAAUAAGUGCUGCAGACACAUCGUCACAUUAAAGCUUGCUGGACUACACUCUAAAAUGCUAGGUUAAAAACAACACAAUUUGUGUUAUAUUGGCAACCCAGCACUGGGUCAAAAGAACCGAACCCAGCAAUGGGUCCUUAUGAAGAUGCAUGCAAAAUAUAUAUACACUAACUGAACAAUAUACAGGAAGACCCAGUUUGAAAGCAAAGCAAAGAAACUCCUACAAUAAGUGCAACUGUAAACAAUACAAAGAUCACUAAACAAAUGACAAACAUGAAGAACCAUGAGGAUUUCCUGUUUUCUGGAACAGGGCCAUUUUGUUCCCCUCUCUGUCUUGUCCUGUAUUUUUCCACCCGUUUAGAAAUAACUGCUCCGAGGUAAAGGAUGAACUCCAAUAUCACAUAAACUGCCAUUACUAUAAUUAACCAGCGUUCUUGAAACCACCAUAGCCCAUAAAAUAUUGAGAUGGAUGUAAUGAGUGUAUUCAGUAGGUCAACUAUUAUGAGAGAAACAAUCCAACAUGUUCUU
ensembl:processed_transcript